AUAAAUUCCAUUUUAAUCUCGUUCGAGCUAUCUCUGCACUUGCGGGCACGUCGUACUGAAGCACGAGAAGUUCUCGUCGAAUUCGACUCAUCUUCUACAUCAGGAAGAAAUCUGUGUCAAUCCAUCCUUACUAGGCGUAUUGAGACCGCUCAAUUCGUGGGCUUACCCUUCGACAAAAGGUCGGUAAGAAAGGAUCAUUAACCCUAGAAUUGCAAAGGAUGAGCUCUUGGUAAACUAAUUUGGGCUUCUUUAUGGCUGAUGCUGAAGUUUCAUCAGUUUGAUCGUUUUGGAUCGAAGAAUUUAUAGAAAAUUCGCCGGUUGUCUCAAUCUCCGGCAUUUAAAUCAGAAAUCUAGGUUUGGCAUAUUCUCUAUGUGUCGGUGAUUGGAUCAUUUUUCUUGUUCAAAACCCUAGAAUCUUCUUUCUACUUCUGAAAGAAAACCCUUUAUUUGUUUGUUCGUAUCUCUUGAUUGCUAGUUGGUUGCAAUCUCUAUUUCACCCGAAAAGUUGGUAUUUUUCUACCAAAAACUACCACCUUCCUUAUUGAGUUGGUUACUGUGAUGGGUUGGACGUGAUGAUUAGAAAUGAUGCAGGUAUCGACUGGGACCAUACCAAGUGGGAGCAACUUCUCUAUUUGAACUGCUUCAAUGUCCAAAAAAGGGUUUCAGAAGCUAGAGUGUUUGAAUUUAUUGUCUAGACGCACUGAUGAUAGUGUGUUGGCUGUUUUGAAAGAAGUGGGGCCGGUAAUUAUUGGUUUUGGUUGCCUUAGAUUUGUUGAAGCUGGUUAUUUCGAGAAACUGAGCUGCCCAAGCAGUUGGGUGUUUUUUUGGGAUUUUCAGGAGAGUCAGGCAUAUGUUUGUUGAUUCGGGGUCAUACCUGUGCUUGUUUCAUUAAUAAAGGAGGGUAAUUCCUCAGUAAUGCUCUCAUGAUAAUUUCUAGUCUUGUUUACUACCUCAGACCUGUAGCUCAAGCUGGUGCAAUCCUGUUGUAUGUGGAGCUGCACAAAGGACCUGAACCCCUUGGAAAAGAAAUUGCUGAAUAUGUUUUUUGUGUAUCGGCUCUAGAGAGGAGAAUGCUGUGAUGUAUCAGAAGAGAUGGUGAGGAUUCUUGAGGCUGAUGCCGAGAAGGCAAACGCUGCAGCUUCAUAUGUUCUGUGGGAUCUUUCAAGGUACAGUCCAUUUCUGUUUUCAAAGAAUUGGGUGUAAUUCCAGUUCUGGUUGAGCUUUCCCAGAAUACAUAUGGUGAUCUUAGGGAGAAGCCAUCUCGUGCUACUACAUGACUAAACUAUUAUGCAGCAAACAGGGAUACCAUCUUAUCAGCUGGUGCAAUUCCUGUUCUUAUUGAUCUCUUGAGUGGUGAGCUGGAUGAGGUGAGAGACUAUGCAGCAGAAUGUCUGAUUAACUUUGCAGAAGACCCAUUGUAUCGAGUGCAAGUGUCUUAAGCCUUUAUAAUUCAAUCGUUUGUGACCAUCCAAGAUAGAUUAAUUCAAUUCUAGACUACGGUAAGUGUAUAUUCAGGUCUAUGAUCAAAUAUUGAUCAAUCCACUUAAAAAACGGAUCUGAUGAACCCUGUGAUGUUAUGAUCUUAGGGGCUCAAUGACAUUGUUAUUCUGUUCCUAGCUUUAUACAAUGUAUCAAGUCAAAAUGCAAAGUGUAUAUCCAGCUCUUUGUUACUUUUAGAUUUAAUUUCUAGUAUUACUAAUAAAUUUUUACUUCAAUGGGUCAUGCUCACUUGCUCAAGCUUUAGUUGGCUCUUUCUUUGACUCUAGGUGUGUUACUUCUGUAAGUAAAUUUGAGUAGUUACAUUUUUGUCAACUGAGAAAAAAAAAUUGCAUAUAGAAGCACCUUUAGUUGUUACAAAAACUUACCAUAAAAUGAUAUGGCAAAUCCAUUUGCCUUUACAGAAGAAUAUUUACUAAUUAUCAAGACUUGGUCUAGUCUUUUUAGGUUCUUGAGCUCACAACAUGAGUCCACAUAAGAUUAUAUUUAGUGUAAGUUACUCUAGAUGGUGUUAAUUUAACUUAAUAACAACGUUGCUUGCUUGAUAGCAAUUUGUUAGCUACUUUUCAUUCAAUCUGAUUUAUUAUGUGAUGGACAUUAAUAUAGGUGAGCUUAGCUUUAGUUUCAUAUUACUUGCAUGUUCCAUAUUGCCUGAUUAUGAUCAUAACCAUAAUGCACCAAAGAUGCAUUUAUCAGAUUUGCUCAUUAAAAACCCAUUGUAGAGCUCUAUUGAUUGUCGUCACUGUUGUAUAACAUAUGUUAUAUAUACAUACAUGUAAUGUGUAACUUAAAUACUCAUGCAGUUAUGUAUGUUGGUGAUGUUCCAGAUGCUGAUACACAUACAUUCUUAUUGCAUACAUAUUGGAUAUUGGAUCUGUGACUAUUAUCCCUUUGUUUCUCUACUCGCACUUAGAAUAACUUGCAACUGUAAUUUUUUUAUAAACCUGACAAAAUAAAAAUUUUCUCAGAUGCAGUAAGUUAAAGUAUAUGUUUUCAUUCUUUCCUGUGUCCUACUUCUUUAUGUUCUCCUGACUGUUGCAGUUAUUUGAUCGAGGCCAUCGUAAUUGGGGAUCCAAUAUUAUUAUUAGUUUGUAUGGAUAUAAACCAAAGGAAGACCCACAAAAACAUAUUAGGUAUUUGGUUAAUUGCAUUAUGUGACUAAGGACCCAAUCACAUUAUUAUAUUUUGCAGAUAUAAACUGAUGAUAUUCCUAUGCUAGCAUUCAUUCAAGGAAAACUGAGAACUUCAAAAAUAUUAAUAUUAUAAAAGAUUAAUAGAUUUAGAUAUUUUAAGUCUUUCACCAUGAUUGUUUUUGGAGCCAAUAAACUCAAACCUAAUGACUUGGAAAGACCAAAAUAUCUUAACUAAUGUAGUACCCAUUCUUUUUAUUGGAGUUGAACAGUAUGCAUAUCAUAAUCCACAAUGGCAAAGCAGCUAACCUUAUCCCUAUACACUACUGAUCAAGCAAAAUUGUGUACCCCUACAUGCAUACCAUGACCCAGAAUAAUCAAUUUUCUUGGUAAACACUGUCUCAACCAGGCAAAACAAUAUGGGACAUGAGUGCUGAUUGACGUACAUAUUCAUGAACUUAGUUAUCUGAUCAUCCGUGUUUGUGUUGAGUAGCUGAUGAUGCAUAUGCAGAUUUUUAUUCAUGAUGAUCCAAUUUUCUUUCUUUUUUUUUGGUUAUAAACUUGAUAUCAAUUCGUCAUCAUUGAUAUAAACUUUCCAGUUGAUAAAAGACAUUAGAUAAAUCCAGGUAAAACAAUUCAAGAUCUGUUACCAUAUGCAUCAUAUGUGCAUAAUAUUAUAUUGAUACUGUUUAGCAGUAACCUUGACUUAAUUAUUUACAUUAUCCUGUUUCUGAUGGAUGUUUCCUUUCAUAAUUCCUUCAUGUAUGUUGUUAAAAACUUAUUUUGAAUAGUCAUAACUCAUAAGCUUGCAUAGAGAUUUUUGUGUAACAGAUCAGAAAUAACAACUUAUUGGAAAAGAUGGUUGAAGUGUACCUCAUCAUUUUGCACUAGCACAAAAGUUCACUAUUGGGGCUUGGAACAUUUUUGGAUAAAGAUCAAGUUUGCUUAUCUUGAUUACUUGGAAACUGAGAUUCUUAUAUAAGUUAUUUAUGCUUGCCACCCAUGACAAGCUUCCAGUACCUCAAAUGCUCUUGGAUGUCCCCUUUGCCAAUGGGAUCACCAGUUGUUUAUCUGGUCGAAGUUCUUGUUGAUUCAGGAAGAAUGCUCUGUUUGUUAAGAAACAAGUAUGGUGGUGAUCUAUGGAAUUAAUAAGUAAAUACUUCGGAGGGUCUGCUCUAAAUCAAGCUGCCAAUAGUUUGCUGCAAGUAUGAAAGCUUUGCUUGUUCUCGAAUCUUCAGCACAGGGAUGGGACAUGAAAAUGAGUUCUUCAAACUAAGUUUUGUGGUGAAAAACUUGCAAUGAGGAUUAAAGGAGGGCUUCUUGCAGGGAGGGAGGCUUCUGCUUUGGAACUAUACAAGUUGGAAUCUGGAAGUCCUAAAAGUAACUGGCAGCUGAUAUCCGACAUCAAGAGACGAACCAAUACAACAGGAUUAGGAGAAGAAGACAUGUUAUGCAUCAUGUCAGGCCCCAUCGAAGAUGCAGAUGGUUCAAGUGUCAUGUAAGAGAUCUGUUCUUAUAUGCAGAAAUCUUUCUCGUUUCUUUCUGCAAGACUGGCCAAACAGAAGGAAUCUCCUUAAAAGAAUUCGACGGUUCAUGAGCUAACAACGAUACAGCAAUCCAUCCUUGUGCUGGUUGUGACUCCAUGGUCAGCAGUUGGUGCAGCUUUCAUGAUCAACAGUAUCACCACCACCAGGAACAUCAAGGACAGCAAGAACGACAGCGUGCACUUGCAGCUCUUAGUGGGUCGCCCAGGCUCAAUAUCUACCGUGGAGAAGUAGACAGUUUGUGAGACUGCAAUAAUGCACUGAGCCAUGCAUACCUUGUCGAAUUCAUGGAUGAAGUUUUCUUUGGAUGUAGCCAAUGGCUGGACUCUGUUCGACAUCGCUGCUUUUCACGACUGAAACAUGCAGUCAGUUCAACAUUAUUGUGGGCUUCUAUUUGUUCCACUCUGCUGUGUCUGAUCCAUGCAUGAAAGAAGUUAUGCUUUUACA